rnacentral:rRNA from 1 species
GAUGAACGCUGGCGGCGUGCCUAACACAUGCAAGUCGAGCGAUUUACUUCGGUAAAGAGCGGCGGACGGGUGAGUAACGCGUGGGUAACCUGCACUGUACACACGGAUAACAUACUGAAAGGUAUGCUAAUACGGGAUAACAUAAGAGAGUCGCAUGGCUUUCUUAUCAAAGCUUUUGCGGUACAGGAGGGACCCGCGUGUGAUUAGCUAGUUGGUAAGGUAACGGCUUACCAAGGCGACGAUCAGUAGCCGACCUGAGAGGGUGAUCGGCCACAAUGGAACUGAGACACGGUCCAAACUCCUACGGGGGGCAGCGGUGGGGAAUAUUGCACAAUGGGCGAAAGCCUAAUACAGCAGCGCCGCGUGAGCGAUGAAGGCCUUCGGGUCGUAAAGCGCUGUCCUCAAGGAAGAUAAUGACGGUACUUGAGGAGGAAGCCCCGGCUAACUACGUGCCAGCAGCCGCCGUAA